UGAUGAUGAAAUUGCUGCAUAGGAAGUGCCGUCUGAUGCGAUAACUGCCGAUAGCAAAAGCUGUUCUGAGA